UACGGGGGGGGCAAGCGUUGUUCGGAAUUACUGGGCGUAAAGCGCGCGCAGGUGGUCUUUCAAGUCAGUGGUGAAAGCCCGGAGCUCAACUCCGGAAAUGCCAUUGAAACUGUGAGACUUGAGGACGAGAGAGGUGAGUGGAAUUCCCAGUGUAGAGGUGAAAUUCGUAGAUAUUGGGAAGAACACCGGUGGCGAAGGCGGCUCACUGGAUCGUAUCUGACGCUCAGGCGCGACAGCGUGGGGAUCAAACAGG
rnacentral:rRNA from 1 species